UACGUAGGUGGCAAGCGUUGUCCGGAUUUAUUGGGUUUAAAGGGUGCGUAGGCGGUUCUAUACGUCAGUGGUGAAAUACGGCAGCUCAACUGUCGAGGUGCCAUUGAUACUGUAGGACUAGAGUACUGUUGAGGUAGGCGGAAUGGACGGUGUAGCGGUGAAAUGCUUAGAUAUCGUCCAGAACACCGAUAGCGAAGGCAGCUUACUAAAGAGUAACUGACGCUGAGGCACGAAAGUGUGGGGAUCAAACAGG
rnacentral:rRNA from 1 species